UGGUCAGUAGCGCAGGAGCAAGUAUCGGGAGUAGUUGGUGGGUGUCGAGUUUUUUGUAACAUCUUGCCUCGUCUUCUAAAAGACGAGUGGCUGGUACGCUAGGAAAAAUACUCGCUGCCGUGCUUCCGCGUAUACGUGCCCGAAAAAUGUAAUAUGGCGAUGGUCGCGUCGAACAUGAGCGGCCACAUACAAAAGCAGCUCACUAGAAGUCUCGAGCGAAUCCUGGAGGAAGCACACUUGAGCGGCGAACUCAAGCUUAGCGGUCGAAAGCUUAAGGACUUUCCAAAAGUCGGGAAAACAGGUUCUAGCAAGUACAAUCUUCAGGAUACGGUUAUUGCUGAUCUCUCGAAGAACCGUUUCGCCGAGUUACCGGAAGAGGUGACGGAAUUUCUGUUCCUCGAAAAGCUACAUCUCUACCACAAUGCCAUAAGAAUAAUACCGGAAACCGUGGUGAUGCUACAGUCCCUCAACUACCUCGAUCUUAGUCGCAACCAAUUGACGUCUCUACCUCGGGAGAUAUGCAGGCUACCGCUGCAAACGUUGCUGGUCGCUCACAACAGAUUGGCAUCCCUGCCGGACGAAUUGGGCAGGAUGACGGCAUUGGCAGAGCUGGACGCCGGCUGCAACGAAAUCACCAAUCUGCCGCCUCGGAUGGGCGAUCUCGCGCGACUUAGGUCCUUGGACUUGAGGAGCAACAUGAUCGUGCACCUGCCUAUAGAACUGACGUACCUGAGACUCGUAAAGCUGGAUAUCAGCGGCAACCGAAUAUCCGUGCUUCCAAACGAGAUGAGGAAAAUGAAGAGCCUGGUCGACUUUCGGCUAGCCGAUAAUCCCUUGACCUCGCCGCCUGCCUCGCUAUGCAUUCGCGGGCGAACGCACAUCUUUAAGUAUUUGGAGAGACAGGCGGCGAAACACGAGAGAGCCAGAGGCGGCCGCGUGAGAAGAACACCUUUGGAUGUCAGAGGUCACGCGACCCUGGACACGAGGACUCACAGGAGACACAACGUCGACAGCGGAUACAGCACCAGUGACGGUGUCGACAAACGCUGGUCUCAAGAGAUUCACAGCGCGGUGCACGACGGUGAGAUCCGGAGCCUGUGGCGUCAGGAGUGCUCGCCGCUUUCCAUCACGCUGCCACACGAGACGAGCGUGAACGGAUCCUGCAGCGGAACCUCGACUCCUAGUACCAUCUCGCCUGGCGAGCACACGUCGCUCGAGGAUGAGCUCGGCAAGGCCAUGAUACUGCACGAUCAGUUGGAAAAGAGGAAACUAGAAAGAAGCACCUCGGAGAACGGCGGCGAUGUCAGAAGACCGAUGACCUCUGGCCUCUACCACGCGUCGAUUACGCCACCCGGCCCCCUCGAAUCCGCUCAUCUGAAUCAAACGACACCGGUAUCAACGAACACGCAGUCCGUGCAACCGUUGCAAACGUCGACCGCGAACGCUACCUCUUUGAUGAACGGGGACGAAAAGAGGCCGCUCAAUCACAUACAGACCUACAGAGAGUAUAAAGAGGCGUUGAGGCAACAGAGGGCUAAUGAGGGACCCAGCGUAUACAGGCCUCGAGAACAGGUCACACCACCAGGCAACGAAUCGCAAAACAACGAGACGGACUUGGCUAGCAAUAAAGACGCGGUGGGUAUGACCGGUAAACAGAUCUUCAACGAGGAGAACGCGACCAAGAGACCAGUGCAGAAGGUAACUCCGUCACGCAUCAACUAUCAGAACACGCCGAUUAUCAACGGUAGCAAUAACGAAUACAACAAUAAGAACGGGAAAUACCUCGAGCAGCCCUAUAAGAAGCCUAAUUCGCCGAUCAAAACAUCUUCGAGCAUUUUAUCCUCCAACACCAGUCCAGGACACACGCCUAGGCUAGUCAAAACCGCCGUUGGCUACGUGGAAGGUAACAAGAGUCCCAGCAGGAACGGUGGAAGUCCAAAGUCUCCUCGAUCGGUGACAUGGAACAGCAACGUGCCAGAGAAAUAUUCGUUUACCAUGAGAAGAGAGUUCGAACGUGCCAAGGAGGAAGCUGACCUGAUCGAGCAACUGCGAAAUCACAUCGAAACCCGGCUGAAGAUGGCUCUGCCGGAAGACCUUGCCCCGGCGCUAACGGACGGAGUUGUACUUUGUCACUUGGCAAAUCAUGUAAGACCUCGAUCGGUUGCCAGUAUCCACGUUCCUUCACCUGCUGUGCCCAAGUUGACAAUGGCAAGAUGCAGGCGUAACGUCGACAAUUUCCUCGAAGCGUGUCGGAAGAUAGGUGUCGAUGAGAAUCUCGUGUGCUGUGCUAGUGACGUACUGGAAGGAGGUCGUGGAGUGGUUCGCGUGGCUGUCACCGUCUCGGAAUUGCUCAGGUUCCAUCAGUCACGCUCUCCGUUGCAGACUGCGUCAUCGUCGAACAUGCCAAACCACGUGUCUGCUUAGCGCCAGACGAUAUAAUUCUCGAAAAAAAUGCUCGUCGACCAUGAAGGAAAUGGAUUCGCAACCACAUUUUUCCAACUGUGUACCAAGGAAGAAUGGACCUAGCAGGCAUUUGGUUCGUUUGUUCCGCGAUACUUUACGAUUUCGUUUAUCUCCGAACAAGAUACCAGGAAGCUGGACUUUUUGUCACCUUUUAGCCUAGACACGAUGCACGCGUGAUCUACUGCGGAUGAAGUAGGUCUCUGCGCGAGUAAAUGGUAAGUUAGUUAGGACGUUUUCAAUACCACCGACGAUCGAUAACGAGCUCGGUCGAUCGAUCGAUUCCGAUUGUUCGCGACAACUUCUAACGAGGUCGUCGUUGUAUCGCAUAUUAUUCGUACGUUUACGUAAAAUUAAGGCCUAGGUGUUCACAGCAACGUGUACCGUCAGCGUUGCAUAAAUUUUCUCUUGUUUCG
rnacentral:misc_RNA from 1 species